rnacentral:rRNA from 1 species
AUACGUAGGUGGCGAGCGUUAUCCGGAAUUAUUGGGCGUAAAGCGAGCGCAGGCGGUUUUUUAAGUCUGAUGUGAAAGCCUUCGGCUUAACCGGAGAAGUGCAUCGGAAACUGGGAGACUUGAGUGCAGAAGAGGACAGUGGAACUCCAUGUGUAGCGGUGGAAUGCGUAGAUAUAUGGAAGAACACCAGUGGCGAAGGCGGCUGUCUAGUCUGUAACUGACGCUGAGGCUCGAAAGCAUGGGUAGC